AUUGAACGCUGGCGGCAGGCCUAACACAUGCAAGUCGAGCGGUAGAGAGGUGCUUGCACCUCUUGAGAGCGGCAGACGGGUGAGUAAUGCCUAGGAAUCUGCCUGGUAGUGGGGGAUAACGCUCGGAAACGGACGCUAAUACCGCAUACGUCCUACGGGAGAAAGCAGGGGACCUUCGGGCCUUGCGCUAUCAGAUGAGCCUAGGUCGGAUUAGCUAGUUGGUGGGGUAAUGGCUCACCAAGGCGACGAUCCGUAACUGGUCUGAGAGGAUGAUCAGACACACUGGAACUGAGACACGGUCCAGACUCCUACGGGAGGCAGCAGUGGGGAAUAUUGGACAAUGGGCGAAAGCCUGAUCCAGCCAUGCCGCGUGUGUGAAGAAGGUCUUCGGAUUGUAAAGCACUUUAAGUUGGGAGGAAGGGUCGUUACCUAAUACGUGACGAUUUUGACGUUACCGACAGAAUAAGCACCGGCUAACUCUGUGCCAGCCGCCGCGGUAAGAC
rnacentral:rRNA from 1 species